rnacentral:rRNA from 1 species
UGGGGAAUUUUGGACAAUGGGGGAAACCCUGAUCCAGCCAUCCCGCGUGUGCGAUGAAGGCCUUCGGGUUGUAAAGCACUUUUGGCAGGAAAGAAACGUCGCGGGUUAAUACCCCGCGAAACUGACGGUACCUGCAGAAUAAGCACCGGCUAACUACGUGCCAGCAGCCGCGGUAAUACGUAGGGUGCAAGCGUUAAUCGGAAUUACUGGGCGUAAAGCGUGCGCAGGCGGUUCGGAAAGAAAGAUGUGAAAUCCCAGAGCUUAACUUUGGAACUGCAUUUUUAACUACCGGGCUAGAGUGUGUCAGAGGGAGGUGGAAUUCCGCGUGUAGCAGUGAAAUGCGUAGAUAUGCGGAGGAACACCGAUGGCGAAGGCAGCCUCCUGGGAUAACACUGACGCUCAUGCACGAAAGCGUGGGGAGCAAACAGGAUUAGAUACCCUGGUAGUCCACGCCCUAAACGAUGUCAACUAGCUGUUGGGGCCUUCGGGCCUUGGUAGCGCAGCUAACGCGUGAAGUUGACCGCCUGGGGAGUACGGUCGCAAGAUUAAAACUUAAAGGAAUUGACGGGGGUGCAUAGC